rnacentral:lncRNA from 1 species
AACAUUUAGACAGGUGCUAACUGCUGUAAUAAAUUUUAUUUAUUUAGUUUUAAAAUUACUCACUUGAGUGAACUGAAAUAAAGCUAGCUUUAGCUUUUAAUUUUGUUUAUUGAGUGUCGAAAUUAAAUUAUCUCCGGUGUGAACAUAGCCUCAGGUGGUCGCUGCAGUUGGAUUGCUGGUGUUCUGUACCAGAUGGCGCAGUAGUACUCGUGAUGUUGUUACAUACCGUAUGGGCGUGUGAGUGCUUGUGUAAAAAUUAAGUGUUUUGUGAUGUUAAAAUCGCUUACGGAGCGUAAAAACGGUAUAUGAACUGCAAUGUGAAUUAGAACACACGCCCACGAGUGCCUUACAAACGAAGUGCCUUCAACAAACAAACAGACAAGCAAACGAACGAAACAACGACCUACGAAUAUUUCAUACGGUACCAACUGAGACAAGCACACCGCAAGC